GGGGGUGAAAUUGGUUUCGACGGGGGUGCGGAAUCAGGAUAAGCGAGCCGUAGUUUGCCAAGUCUACGUUAAAAAUGGCACGUUAAAUAUAAACGCUAAAAAUAGAACAAACUUCGCACUGGCUGCUUAAGCCGCCGCGCGUCAGCUCCGAUUCACCUGUAGGUCGGCAGAUCUGGCGUCAAUUAUACAGGAAAACUCUAUGUGAGCUCCUAGUAGCAUAGGGGAACAAUAGGAUAGCCGA
rnacentral:tmRNA from 1 species